rnacentral:ncRNA from 1 species
AAACGCAUAUUACUCCGAGCUUGUUGCGCCUACGUUAAUUUUUAAUAUGGCGGCAAGCCUGUUAGCAUGAAUGAUUCGUGCUACGCCGGAUACACUGGAAACGGUUUAUCCGCUCGUGCUUAGAAAGGUGUCAGAAUGCAGCAAA